rnacentral:tRNA from 1 species
GACGAAGUGGCUGAGUGGUUAAGACAAUGGACUGCUAAUUCAUUGUGUUCUACAUGUGUGGGUUUGAAUCCCAUCCUCGUCA